rnacentral:sRNA from 1 species
GCCAGGUGUGGUGGCUCAUACCUGUAAUCUCAGCAGCUCAGGAGGCUGAGACAGGAGGAUCAUGAGUUCAAAGCCAGCCUCAGCAACAGUGAAGCCCUAAACAACCCAGUGAGACCCUGUCUCUA